rnacentral:rRNA from 1 species
UGGGGAAUAUUGGACAAUGGGGGAAACCCUGAUCCAGCCAUGCCGCGUGAAUGAUGAAGGCCUUCGGGUUGUAAAGUUCUUUUAGUAGGGACGAUGAUGACGGUACCUACAGAAUAAGCUCCGGCUAACUUCGUGCCAGCAGCCGCGGUAAUACGAAGGGAGCUAGCGUUGUUCGGAAUUAUUGGGCGUAAAGGGCGCCUAGGCGGGGGAUUAAGUUAGUUGUGAAAGCUAUGGGCUCAACCCAUAAAUUGCAAUUAAGACUGGUUCUCUUGAGUUCGGGAGAGGAGAGCGGAAUUCCAGGUGUAGCGGUGAAAUGCGUAGAUAUCUGGAAGAACACCAGUGGCAAAGGCGGCUCUCUGGCCUAGGACUGACGCUGAAGCGCGAAAGCGUGGGGAGCGAACA